rnacentral:rRNA from 1 species
CCCAGACUCCUACGGGAGGCAGCAGAGGGGAAUAUUGCACCAUGGGGGAAACCCUGCUGCAGCGACGCCGCUUGAGCGAUGCCGUAUUUCGGUAUUUCCCGCUCUAUCAGCCUUGAAGAAGAUGCCGGUACCUGACUCCUCCGCCCCGGCUCCCUCCGUGCCAUCCUCCUCGGUAAUCCUGCUGGGGCAAGCGUUCUCCGGAUUUCCUGGGUGUAAAGGGAGCGUAGACGGCGAUGCAAGCCAGAUGUGAAAGCCCGGGGAGCAACCCCGGGACUGCAUUUGGAACUGUGUGGCUGGAGUGUCGGAGAGGCAGGCGGAAUUCCUAGUGUAGCGGUGAAAUGCGUAGAGAGGAGGAGGAACACCAGUGGCGAAGGCGGUCUGCUGGACAGCAACUGACGCUGAGGCGCGAAAGCGUGGGGAGCAAACAGGAUUAGAUACCCCUGUA